GAGAGAAAGCCACAUCCUUUGCGUUUUAUUGUAUGUUACUAACAUUAAUAUCUGAAACUGAAUGGCCUCCAUAUGUGGGGAACACAGCCAUGAAAACUCCUGUUCCAUUCUCAUUCCCUGCUGCCACGUGUCUCCUUCUAAUUCCUGGCGUCUCUUCCCUUAGGUGUGGAUUCCACAAAUCCAAAGCAGGUGGAGGAACCAGGAGCUCCUCUUUCGGUAGCAACCCUCCUUGGUCAUCAUCCCAGCAUCCCUGUCCAGGCCUUCACAAACCCAAUGCUCUUGCAUCUGCCAGAAGACCUGAGAUCUCCUUUCUGAUGCUUCUUCCUUGAAAAGAUGUGAUGAAGUUGAAGCAAUUUGUGAUAAUACACAUCCUGGGAGUUUAAGGAAGGGCAAACCUCAAGCUACUCUUGGAGCCCACUCUACAUCCCACAAAGAGAAACAUGACCAAAUAUUUGCCAUUAAAAAGGCGAUUUCCUAUCCAUGCUACGACCCACAGUCAUUUGAAGGGGCUCUUCAACUCCAGCCAAGCUUGGCUAACACAGGAUAUCAGGGUAAGAAGUGCAGCUGAGACCCAGCACAAUUGCCACAGGCAGACCUCUUCUUGGAAUUCAGUUCAACUCAACAGAUAUUGACGAAAGUCCUACCGAGGAAGGACCUGGCGAUCCAAUGUGUGAUGCCACCAGGAACUCACCUACAGUCAAACCAACUAGAAGGUAAAGCAACUAUAACCAAAGCCACCAAAACAGGAGAUGUCAAACCCCACACCAAGUUUCAUGUGGCAGGAAGGGGAAGCACCAAAAGAGACUCUUGCAAAAUUUCAAAUACCUUGAGAGAAGUCAAUGUCACUGUGAUAGACCAAAAACUCUGCAAUGACGUAGAGCACUAUAAUUUUACGCCAGUUAUUGACAACAGCAUGAUCCGUGCUGGUCCUCGAAAAGGUGAAGAUGAUUCAUAAGAAGGGGAUUCUGGAAGUCCUCUGAUAUGUGAUAACACUUUCAGAGGUGUCACUUCCUUGGGAAGUGUGGGAACCCCCAGAAGCCUUGUAUCUACAUUCUCCUUACAAAAAAGUAUCUCAGCUGGAUAAAGAAAACCAUUGCAGGAGCCAUAUGCCAUUCCUUCUUCAAAGAAGAGAAUGGUGGUAACCACCUGGAGAUGCCAAGCAAUCCUAAACAGCACCUCAGCAACCCUCCCAACCUUGUGUACAAAUGACAGCUUGUCUGAAGCAAAAUCAGCAGUGGAAAAAAAACAGCUUCUUGCUGUCACUCUUCACGAAUAGCUAAGACUGUUUCAUCACACGUUCUCCAUCCACAGCAAGAGAGGACCUUUGAGAAAAAGUUUCCCAGUUCAGUGACUCUGCUUUAUUCAGAAUUUGAGGACUGUCACUGUUGUGUUUGUCUUUAAAAGGAAGUCAAUCCCAGGAAAAGUUACAAUAUUCUUCAUUCUUCCAAAUAAAGCUCCAAAAUAUCAGUUGCCCUUGGAAUUUACAACCUGACACUCCAUUCAGUGUGGGAGUGAGGCGAGAGAUGAAAGGGUAUUUUCACUUCUUACUAUAGACUUCUGUAAAUUUUCAUAUUUUACAAAAUUUUUAAUUAUAAAGACAAUGAGAAAGAUUCAGUGUUUCAGAUAUUUGGAAAUUCAGAACUUGAAGUUAGGGAUUGUUCAGGGUAUUGCAUCAUUUACUAAUUACAAGUAGACUAAAGUUUCAUGUAACAAUGGGCCAUAGUCGAGCCAAUAUCUUGAUGUGUAUUUUGCCUUAACUAGUCAAUUUACACCUGUAAGCACUAAACUUAAUUCUAUGUUAUUCUCAAUAACUUGUGAUACAUAAUAAACAAAGUGGGUUUUUUUACCACCUACCAUUUA